CUAAUUCCUUCUACCGUAGCCUGAGACUUUGUUGUUCAACCCUCAAAAUAUCUGGCCCGUGUAACAUCCCCUCCAAAGCCCUUCGGGUAUUUUUGCAAUCCUCUAUGGUGGUGUUGUUGGGGACUCUGGCCAAGCAUUCCUACUGACUUACCCGAUUAGGAGAGUGGGUUGACAUCUCCCCUCCUUGAGGGGCAGGAAGAACCUCCAGACUAAGGAUGUCAACUUCUGGGGAUGGCACGAAGUGAGCAUCGACUGACGAGGGAGGCACUGAAGGUGCUCCUCUAGCACUUGCCCUGGU
rnacentral:lncRNA from 1 species